rnacentral:rRNA from 1 species
GACGAACCGUGCGAACGUUGUUCGGAAUCACUGGGCUUAAAGGGCGCGUAGGCGGGCUGCCAAGUCUGGGGUGAAAUCCCACGGCUCAACCGUGGAACUGCCUCGGAUACUGGCGGCCUCGAGGGAGGUAGGGGCAUGCGGAACUGUGGGUGGAGCGGUGAAAUGCGUUGAUAUCCACAGGAACUCCGGUGGCGAAGGCGGCAGGCUGGACCUCUUCUGACGCUGAGGCGCGAAAGCCAGGGGAGCAAACGGG